GCCGCAAGGUUAAAACUCAAAAGAAUUGACGGGGGCCCGCACAAGCGGUGGAGUAUGUGGUUUAAUUCGAUGCAACGCGAAGAACCUUACCUGGUCUUGACAUCCCGGGGAUUUUCUGGAAACAGAAAAGUGCUCUUUAUAGAAGAGCCCGGAGACAGGUGCUGCAUGGCUGUCGUCAGCUCGUGUCGUGAGAUGUUGGGUUAAGUCCCGUAACGAGCGCAACCACGCCCUUAGUUUGCCAUCAUUAAGUUGGGCACUCUAGAGGGACAGCCCCGGUUAACGGGGAGGAAGGUGUGGAUGACGUCAAGUCCUCAUGGCCCUUAUGGCCAGGGCUACACACGUACUACAAUGGGCGGUACAAAGGGUAGCUACACCGCGAGGUGGAGCUAAUCCUCCAAAACCGUUCUCAGUCCGGAUCGGAGUCUGCAACCCGACUCCGUGAAGUUGGAAUCGCUAGUAAUCGUGGAUCAGCAAGCCACGGUGAAUACGUUCCCGGGCCUUGUACACACCGCUCGUCACACCA
rnacentral:rRNA from 1 species